rnacentral:sRNA from 1 species
AGAAGGAAACACUUCUUAGGCUUUUAAGAUCCGGUUGCGGUUCUAAGUCUUAUACUUAAUCAUACACAUGACAUCAAGUCAUCUUU